ACGUCACACCAGCAGAUACGCCCCUUCGGGAGAGACCCAUGCAGCAGGUUUUCGCCUAUCCGCACACAUCCAACAUUUUCUAACUACACGGAUGCAGAUGUGUGGGUAAAAAAUGGAGAACUCUGAGGAGCUGCUGGUGGCAGAAGUGAGAAAAUACAGACAUCUGUACGACUCCUCACUGAAAGAUCAUCGUGACAGCCAAUAAUUCCUGGCACAUAAUUUCACAAAAUUUAGGGAAAGAAAAAGCAUUGUGCAGGAAGGCAUGGGAAAAUUUUGUUAAUUUAUUUAAUUUCAGUUGGCUGUCACCCUUCAUCAAACACAGAGAAACCCAAUCAAAUUUCCCUACAGUUGAGGUUGCUGUGGAGGACACACAGUUGCAACUUGAUGAUUUGUUCAAACGUCACCUUCUUCAUCCAGCACAUCAGAGCUCAGCACUAUUUCCACCUCUACCCUUCAAAACACCUUUAGCUUUUCAGCUCCUGUAGAGCACACGUCACUGGAAUACUUCUCUCCUACCCCCUCACCUCCGUCCAGUGAUGAACAAAGCAGUACCUCUGGGAUUCCAGAUCCAAAGAAGAGGAGAAAAACUGAAGAUGCCAUAAGGAGGGCCUUGAGAGGACAGAUAAAGAAAGAGCUUCUCGGCAAGACAAUGAAGAUGUGAGGUUUGGGCAUGCUGUGGCUGACAUGCUUCUAAAGAUAACACCUCAGAUGCAUUCAGCUAUGAAAUUCAAGAUCUUCCAACUGCUUUAUGAGGCUGUUUAGUCAGAGGAUGAGUCAUAAGAGGCAAAAACAUCACUAACUGGAGGGCAUUUUUGUUUAAUUAUGUGUUCUUACACCAUUGUUGACAUGUUGAUGUUAAUCAUUGUUCAUGAUUUGCAUAGAUUUUUUAAAUAAAAGGUUUACAGUUAACAUACUUAAAAAGUCAGGUACAGCGUGUAAAUGUUUG